UUGUUCUUAACUGACUUGCCUAGUUAAAUAAAGGUAAAAUAAAUAAAAAUAUAUUUGAUUGAUUCGUUGCAGGAGAGGGUCACCACCCUGCGAGCCACGCAGCAACAGUACGGAGGUGGCGUCGGCAGCGAUGGCGGUGGACAGUACGGCGCUGAUCAAUACGGUAGUAGUGACCGGUAUGGUAGUGGAGGGUACGGGGAACGGUACAACCAAUAUGGUCAGUACCCACAAUCUGGACCGGACUCGCAGAUUCAACAAGGUCACAUGGUGAGCCCGUCCGUGCCGUCCCAGCCAGGUAGCCAGCCCUCGUCCACCUCUGGAUCCAUGUUGCAGGGCCCUCGACCAGGGCAGCAAGGCCCCUCAAACGCCCAACGCAUGGGAACCCCAACAGGAAAACCACACCAAGGGCCUCAGGCAGAGCAGUACAACCUGUCUGGAACUCCAGGGAGAGGGGCGGGCCCAGGAGGGAGAGGGGCGGGCCCAGGAGGGAGAGGGGCGGGCCCAGGAGGAAGAGGUGUGGCCAGAUCACCAGUUCCACCACCAGGACAGCCUCCACCCUUCCAAAGCCCCAGAGGACCAAGGUUUGAUGGUCCGAGAGGGAAUGGCCCGCUGUUUGACCAGCAGCAGCAAUCCGGUCAACAGCAGAGGUUUAAUGCUCCACCAGGCCCCAGGUUCAACGAGCAGCGCCAGAGGUUCAACCAGCCUGGCCCCAGAGGACCAGGGCCUCGCUUUGGGCAGCAGGGGUCCCGGUUCGACCAGCCCCCCCCGAGACAAAACCCCCCUGGCUGCUUUGAAAGACCACCUGGUCCCCUAGUUCCCCAUAUAGGCCCACAGCCUAAACCAGACACUAGUAAAGACACACAACCACCACAGGGUAAGACUGAGACGCCAGCGGGCUCCAAGCCUCCUGGUAAUAAACCUACCGGGCCAGCGAAACCAGGAGCAGAACCGGAGGAUAUGUCAGAGGACAUGGUGGACUCACUGGAUGGCUUCUUCGUCCAAAAUGACCCCAUCCCUCAGACGAAGGCAGAAGCUGACGCUGCUGCUGCUAGUAAGGGAUCCACCGUCAACAUGGAGAAGGUGAGCCCUACUGGUCCUGCCGGUACCAAGCCCCAAGUGUCCACCGACGCCUCUGUGU
rnacentral:lncRNA from 13 species